rnacentral:rRNA from 1 species
AACGAACGCUGGCGGCGUGCCUAACACAUGCAAGUCGAACGUGAUCCGCCCUUCGGGGUGGUGAAAGUGGCGCACGGGUGAGUAACGCGUGGAUAAUCUGCCCGAGGAUUUGGGAUAACAUCUCGAAAGGGGUGCUAAUACCGAAUAAGCCCACGGGGUCUACGGAUCUUGCGGGAAAAGGGGGGGACCUUCGGGCCUCCUGUCCUUGGAUGAGUCUGCGUACCAUUAGCUAGUUGGUGGGGUAAUGGCCUACCAAGGCGACGAUGGUUAGCUGGUCUGAGAGGAUGAUCAGCCACACUGGAACUGAGACACGGUCCAGACUCCUACGGGAGGCAGCAGUGGGGAAUUUUGCGCAAUGGGGGAAACCCUGACGCAGCAACGCCGCGUGGGUGAUGAAGGCCUUCGGGUCGUAAAGCUCUGUCUGGAGGGAAGAAAUGAUUGGGAGCUAAUACCUCUUGAUCUUGACGGUACCUCUGAAGGAAGCACCGGCUAACUCCGUGCCAGCAGCCGCGGUAAUACGGAGGGUGCAAGCGUUGUUCGGAAUUAUUGGGCGUAAAGCGCGUGUAGGCGGUCUUUUAAGUCUGAUGUGAAAGCCCCGGGCUCAACCUGGGAAGUGCAUUGGAAACUGGGAGGCUUGAGUACGGGAGAGGAGAGUGGAAUUCCUAGUGUAGGAGUGAAAUCCGUAGAUAUUAGGAGGAACACCGGUGGCGAAGGCGGCUCUCUGGACCGAUACUGACGCUGAGACGCGAAAGCGUGGGUAGCAAACAGAAUUAGAUACCCUGGUAGUCCACGCCGUAAACGAUGAGUACUAGGUGUUGCGGGUAUUGACCCCUGCAGUGCCGUAGCUAACGCAUUAAGUACUCCGCCUGGGAAGUACGGUCGCAAGACUAAAACUCAAAGGAAUUGACGGGGGCCCGCACAAGCGGUGGAGCAUGUGGUUUAAUUCGACGCAACGCGCAGAA